rnacentral:lncRNA from 10 species
GGACUUGCUUCUUCAGUUUGCAGAUAUAUUGUUCAGUCAAGGUCCUUCCUUGAAUGAUUCAGAAUGUAGCAUCUUCCUCCAAAUCCAUCUGAAUAUAGCAAGAAGAUCCUCGCCAGAUACGUGGGCCUCUUGAACUUGGACUUCCCAGCCUGCAGAAUGGGCCCGUUACUGUCAGAUUCCGGCAGUUGACCCUGGUGAUUUCACAGCAGCAAGCACUGCAGGCGUUCCCAACACACAAGGCAAACUCUGUAUAUGGGCUCACCACCCACAGAUCCAGCUGUCUGUCAUGUCGUUCCCAUAUUGAAGGAACAUAACCUGUUAUUAAGCCAAUUCAGCCCUGGAAGAAGGAACAAGUUUCCAAAAUGCAAUCUUUGAGUUUGGAAAAUGGCAUUUGAGAGGUAUAAAUAAAGCUAAAUUCUUAUAGAACUUAAA